rnacentral:rRNA from 1 species
GAUGAACGCUAGCGGGAGGCUUAAUACAUGCAAGUCGAGGGGCAUCACGGGACUUCGGUCCUGGUGGCGACCGGCGCACGGGUGAGUAACGCGUACACAACCUACCUUCAAGAGGGGGAUAGCCUUGGGAAACUGAGAUUAAUACCCCAUGUGAUUAACUUUUUGAUGAUUGGUUAAUUAAAGCUGAGGCGCUUGAAGAUGGGUGUGCGUCUGAUUAGGUAGUUGGUGAGGUAACGGCUCACCAAGCCGACGAUCAGUAGGGGGCGUGAGAGCGUGACCCCCCACACGGGUACUGAGACACGGACCCGACUCCUACGGGAGGCAG